GCCAAAAUGGAGAGCGAGCGAGUGAGAGAGAAAUCACUACUUAGCCAGUCGACCGAUUUCCCAGCUCGCUGUCACACACCUUGGGCUGGAAAACGGCCGACCGUGCGUCUUUCUCUAUGCGUGCGGACAGCGGACACGGGUUCAACGCCACACGGAGGAGGAAAGCAUGCGCACGGACAGAGCACAAGAAACAGCCAAAGUCUCUUCAAUAGAGACAGUGAGUGCAUAACGGGAGAAGUACUCGCCGGUGUUCUGACAGGGUGCAUCCCUGCCUUUGAAGGAGACAGCAUGGGCAGAACAGUCAUUAAAAUGCUAGUUUCAAAAAUACGAUAAUACCGAGAGGGAUUUUGGACAAGGAAGGAUCUGAGCUUUGCUUUAUAGCCUAGGACUAAGAUAAAUUGGGAGAAUGGAAAAGCCCAUCCAGCCUCAGCUGCAGUCGACCACAUCCAAGAGCUCAGAAGGUCUGUCGGAUGAUCUUUCCAAACUUACGGAUGAAGAUCUUCUGAAAUGGAGCAAGGAGGAGCUGGUGCGCCGGCUGCGCAGAACCGAAGCGGAGAAGAUGAGCGUCAUAGUGGACCACAGCAAUCUCAUCCGAGAGGUGAACCGCAGGCUUCAGCAGCACCUGAACGAGAUCCGGGGGCUCAAGGAGGUGAAUCAGAAGCUGCAGGAGGACAACCAGGAGCUGAGGGAUCUCUGCUGCUUUCUGGAUGAUGAUCGACAGAAAGGGAAAAAAGUGUCGAGGGAGUGGCAGCGUCUGGGCCGGUACAGCGCGGGGAUCAUGCGUAAGGAAGUCACAUUGUACCUGCAGAAGCUGAAAGAGCUGGAACAGCGUCAGGAGGAGGUGGUGAGAGAGAACCUGGAACUGAGGGAGUUGUGCCUCAUGCUGGAUGAGGAGAAGGGCUCUGGAGGUGCUGUCGGGUCAGUGGGCACCGGGGGUCCACCCGGCUGCAGGAAUUCAAUCGAUAGCCAGAGCAGCCUAUCUCAUGCCAGCGGUCCUGGGCCUGGGCUCCUGAGAGAUGUGGGUGAUGGGAGCAGUACCUCCAGCGCGGGCAGCACCGACAGCCCUGACCAUCUCACGCAUAAGCAGCAGCUGUUGGGCGGCCCCGCUGGAGGCAGUCCUGACCACCUUCAUAAGCCAGGCUCGGGGGAGGAGGCACCGCGUUCUGACCACCCAGGGCGCAGACACAGCACUAGUCAGGAGUACGCGGCGCAUACCUUUCCCCAGGUGUGCCGGUCUCGGUGUGGGUCCUUCUCCAGUCCAGACCACAAGGGCCUGCGAGGGCUCAGUCCUGAGAAACAUGGCAAGAGCUUGCCCAGAUGCGGUCCAGAGCCGUUCUCGAAACAUCUGCUGGUGUCUUCUCAGCCACCCGGCAGUCCUGACCUUUUCCAGAAGCACAGGGGCAGUAUGGGAAGUGUGUGUGGGAGUCCGGAGCCCAAACAGAUUUUAUCAGGGACACCAGAACACCUCCAGAAGGGCCGCGUCAUUUCUGGGAGCCCCGAGAUGUUGAGGCAUCAGUAUGGCGCCGGCCAUGAGCACAGCAAGUUUGGCAGCCCUGCCCGCGAGAUGGCACAGAAGAGGCCGGGCGUAGAGGAGAUGUCCCCUCAUCACCGGAACAUCUAUAGCGGUAUGAACGGUGGGUCCGACUGGAGCCUGCUGUAGCACCCACAGUGACAUACACGGAGUUGAAUGCACCACAUGCAGAGGGGAUGGUCAUCCUUCAUCAUGGAGGGCAUCAUUGCCAGCAAAGCCCAAUUCCCAGCCAGGCUCUAAACCAUCCCAUUCAGCCAGCCAUGAUAUGCGUUUAGUUUAGUUUUUCUUUGCUCAGUUCAGGAGAGGCAAUGAGGGGAUAGAGCAGGGACUUUAGUGUCUGCUAGAGCAGAACGCCAAGUCAUCUCUGGCAAAGGUCGGUGGUGUCCAGUCUUGGUACUCUUGGGUCAAUCAGCCUCUGUACCGGUGCCUCCUAAGCCAUUUUUAUGCUCUGGAACCCAGCUAAGGGAACUCAAUCAAAGAUCAAAAUGCUCAGAGGCCCAACAAAUACAAGAAGACAGUGCUGCCCAGCAGGACCAGGAGUGGACACCAUUGUAUUUGCCAUAUGCACCCAGCUCUGAUAUCAGCUGGCUGUUGUACCAGCGCAUGCAGAAGUGUCAAACUUUGGGACAGUUUUAAUGCCUCCUGACCAUUGCCUUGAUUGAAUUCGUUGAUGGGAACCAGGCCAUGGAAGAUGGUCCCUGUGCUUUUAUAUCACUUGGACUGACAAAAAGUUGGAAGAUGAAGAGUGAAUAAAAGACAAAAUGUUUCAACAGCCAGCGUCUCCCGCCCCCACCAUGCUGGUUCCUGGUCUACCAAUCCAACUUACAGCCCUGCACAACAAAAGCCUGAAGGAGAGAUUUCUUAGGAGUCAAACCGCUGGAAAUAACAGGAUUGCCAAAAGAAAUAUAUGUAACGAUUGCUCUUUUGCCAACAAAAUAGACCUACCUCCUUCAAACUUAAAGAGACGAAACAGGACUGAGAGGCUAGUACCCAUUUUGUUUACAGUCGCCACAAAAACACAUGCAAACAAUCGAAAGAAACCUUUGCACACACAGGCAGACAAUUCUUAUCAGACUGGUCUCGUAAGACCGUAGGCUUUGUUCAGGCAAGCAGCAAAAAUCUGUGACUCAAAUCCAUGUAGAUUUUUGUAGUUCAGCAAACAGCACAGAUUAAUCUCAUAUGUUUAUAAACUUUAUUCAAAAUAGAUUCACAUGUGGUUUGUAAUCUGACUGAAAUAAAAAAUGUUUGGAUGCGUCUCAGUUUGAAUAGAUUUCAGGUGGCGUUUCAUCAUUUGAGAUGUUUUUGCAGAAGCAAAACGGAGUUUUCUGCUCUCCUUCCACACUGACAGCUGCUCUUGUUGUAUGAGGAAGUCUCUUGAGAUUGUGCUGAUGCUUAAAUCGUUACCAUAGCAACCAUUGUAGAAUAUCAGAUUUAAACCCAAAUGGGAUGCAGUGUGAACAAAGCCUAAUAACAUGGACAGCAUUUCUUAAGCUAUAUUGAUUUAUGUAGCUCUUCAAUUGGAUAUCAUUAAAUUGAUAUCAGUCACUGCCUGAGUUUCAAUACGAGUUGUGUGAUGACCUUUUAUGUACUGCGUUGACUUAUGGCCAUGUGUAAAGUACGGUAAUUUGACGUUCAAGAUGUCUAUACUUAAAAUCUGCAUCCUGAUCUCUGGAUCAGGAGAGGCUCCCCUCCUGUCUCUGAAUGUCCUAUAAAUAAUCUUUCUGUAGACGCAGUGUUGUGUUGUGUGAAAGAAGCACAUAGAAAUCUGCUGCUGUGUCCAGGACUUGUGUAGCCAGACGCUGUAAGCUUCCGCCGUGUCGAGUCUUGCGUCUGGUGUUUCUGCCCUCAGUGCUGCCCAAAUCAAGCGGCCCCAUCACAAAGCUUAAUGUAAGCUCUGCAAAUCCUGUCCGUUUCAAUGCUUUGUGAAAUUGCCAAACCCAUUUUACGGUUCUCCAUUAAAACGAGAUUUUGUUCUCCAUCUGUUUGUGGAUUCAAUUUGAACGGUGGCCCAGUGGCUCUGUUCAGUGGAGACAGCAAUGCUCCUCACUGCACAUUCUCUGUUUGUGGACCAUAACUGAGAGGCAAUAUUGGACUUUUGUUCCAUAGGACUAUUUGUGCCGUCAUGCCUCUCUUCUUAGCAGGUAUUUCAUCAAACCUCUCCUGGGUGACUGCAAACCAUACACACUGUAUUCAUUUGAGAGGUUUUGAGAGCAUAGCCUAUAUCCCUCACUCAACAUGAUGUUGUUUUGGUCAGCCAACAUCACACACAUUAAAUCUGUUGUACACCGUCAGUAUUAAAUACAGCAAAGCUACUUGAUAAACUCAUUAACCUGUGAUCUUUUUUAUUUUUGUUGACAGAUUAUAAAACAGAACAGAUAUUAUUAUAUGAGACCUUUAUGUUUUUAAAAAGUAAAGAGUAGUUUAAGGCUUAGUUUUUUAUAUAUAAUAACUAUAAUUAUUAUUUUUGACGUACUGGUAUUAUUGAAUCUACGAAUAUAAGAGAUGUACGUAAAAAAAAACA